GGCCAAAUAAAACCAGAGUUAUGAUAAAUUAUGUCUGCAAUACUUUUUUUCUGCUUAUUUUGAUCACGUUCGGCGCUCGAUCGCGCUGUAUGAGACAGGAAAACAUAGCAUGCAGACAUUAGCGACAGGUCUUACAGGCGGAAAAGGCUUGCCAAAAGAAAAAAAAAACACACCACAACAUUUCUCCUAUUGGUGGAAAACUUCACCACAACAACCAAUCCAAAAUUAUAUGGUGACUGAUUGACAAGGGGCGGGCGCUUACGGUCUUCCUGCAACAUGAGAAGGGAGGGAGGGACUCUCAGCAGGGAUGCAGUCUGGGACACGUAGUUGCAAACCUAGCGACUUUGUUGUUAGAUUCAAAGACUUUUCAGACCACCUAACGCCUUUUUUUUUUUUAGAAAGAAAGGGACUUCUAUCGACUUCUUCUGGAGUUUAGAGACUCAGACAUGAAGCAGGCUUUCCUUACUGAGGAGUUAGCAACGCUGCUAAUGGUGCAGAGCCACACAUGUGCUCCGAGCUCUGCAUGAAGCUGACAGAUCUGCAGCAGUUAGCAGGUUUCACCCUCAGAGACCACCAGGGGUUCAUGUUGAGGCAUUUUCAGUUUUUUUUUUUUUUUUGCCAUAGACACUGUCAGCACAAUCUGCAGUUACACUAACAAAAAUGCUGCAAAAAACAAAGAAUUAUGGAAAAAUUACACAUGGACUAACAUAGAGGAGGAUCUACACAAGUUUUUUACAUCAUGUUUUACAUCAUGCAUCAUUUACAUCAUGAUUUUUUGUAGUGGCAUAAAUAAAAGUGACAUUUGUGAGACUAUACAGCGUUUUGUAAAUAAUUUUACAAAGAACGCCUGGGCCAUUGCCUGCAUUUUGAUGUAAAUAGAGGUAAAUUACUAUGUUCUUUGUUAAAAAUUUGCAUAUGUUUUGAAGUUUACAAUUUUUAUUUGAAGUUUAAGUUUUAAAAACAGUUCAUCACACAUAUUUGUGGUUUUCACAGUAAAAAUGUUACUUUUUUCCACUCGGAUUUUAUGUUUUGUGUGUGAAUUUGGGUCCAUUGUGUAAAUACAGUAUGUCAAAAUGAUAAAAUAACUGUAAAUUCACACAGGUGAGGUUGUGCUGAAAAAAAAUGAUACCAGGCAAGGCAAGGUAAAAAAAUUUUAAGAGGAAAUAUAAAGGUAAAAUCUAAAGUAGUCAAAAACGGCCAAUAGUGACUCCCAGACUCAAUAGACAAGUCCCUUUGGCGCCACUCAGUGGGCAAAACUACUUUGUCUGCUGUAAUGUAUAUUUGGGUCAUCUUUGGCGCCCCCUAGAACCUAAACCGUGGAGUGCAGCGUCAUGAUUUGUACAACUUUGAAUGGCCAUGGGGUGUAGAUUGGCCUGAGCAAAUUUGGUGGCGGUGGAACUAAAGCCUUCGGAGGAGUUAGCGAAAUUCCAAUGUGUGCGGAUCGGGAAAAAAUGCAAAAUAACCCUUUAACCGUACAUUUUACAGAUACGUGCCUAUUGACUUUUUCGUAGAUCUUAUUGAGAUACACGUGAUUGUCAAAUUUUGGGUCAAUAUGACAAAGCGUAUAGGCGUGACACUCAACAAUGUGUAUUUUCACCUUAGGGGACAAGAAAAAAUGGACUUUUUUCUCCUGCCAUGUGGGGGCGCUCUUUUGGGGAGUAAAAAUUCCUUCACAAAUGUGUUGAUGGCUGGACAUUGCAUCAUCCUAGAGAACUUGGAGGCCAGUGAGGACAAAAAUAAAAAGUUAUAAGACUUAUAAGACUGUGGAUUUUUGGGUUAUCUUUGGCGCCCCCUAGAACGUAAACCGUGGGGUGCAGCGUCAUGAUUUGUACAACUUUUAAUGGCCAUGGGGUGUAGAUUGGCCUGAGCAAAUGUGGUGCCGGUGGAACGAAUGCCUUCGGAGGAGUUAGCGAAAUUCCAAUGUGUGCAGAUCGGCAAAAAAUGCAAAAUAACCCAUUAACCGUACAUUUGACAGAUACGCCUGCGCUGACUUUUUUGUAGAUCUUAUUGAGAUACAUGUGUGUGUCAAUUUUUGUGUCAAUAUGACAAAGCGUACAGCCGUCAUGUGAAUUUUCACCUUAGGGGGCGCUAUGGAGCCAUUUUGCAUUUUAUUGUUUGGGCGACUUCAGAAUAUCAAAUUUUUCACCAGGCCCGGUCGUCCUGCCAAAUUUCCUGAGUUUUCGCCAGUGGGAAGUGGGCCAUUUUCCAGUUUAAAGCGGAGGAAAAAUAAUAACUAGGGCCCCGUUGGGGCACUGGCGGGCCCGAGCCGUGUCGCGCCACCCCCAGCGCGACCGCCUACCCCUCCCGAUCGCGUCACACUCAAGGUCCAAAGAUGGUGUGCGCACUUGUCUGUGGUCAUUUACCAUUAUAAUGAAUGGGAGGCGCGGUUUCUACCAAAACGCUCGCUGCAGACAAACUCCAUGUCCUAUUUGAAAAAAGUCUAGAACAUGAGUGAGGGCACAAACACAGCUAAGAUAUAUCCAAAUGGCAAGUUGCUCCUCCUUUCGGUUUUGCCGAGAGAGCGAUGCGUUUAAGCCAUUGAGCGAUGGGCAGGAACAACUUGACUUUUUCUCCGGCCAUGGGGGGGCGCUCUUUUGGGGAGUAAAAAUUCCUUCACAAUUGUGUUGAUGGCUGAACAUUGCAUUAUCCUAGAAAACUUGGAGGCCAGUGAGGACAAAAAUAAAAAGUUAUAAGACUUUUGAAAAUUUGGAUUUUUGGGUUAUCUUUGGCGCCCCCUAGAACGUAAACCGUGGGGUGCAGCGUCAUGAUUUGAAUAACUUUUAAUGGCCAUGGGGUGUAGAUUGGCCUGAGCAAAUGUGGUGCCGGUGGAACGCCAGCCUUAGGAGGAGUUAGCGAAAUUCCAAUGUGUGCGGAUCAGCAAAAAAUGCGGAAUAACCCUUUAACCGUACAUUUGACACAUACGCGCGCAUUGACUUUUUCGUAGAUCUUAUUGAGAUACAUGUGUGUGUCAAAUUUUGUGUCAAUAUGACAAAGCGUACAGGCGUGACACUCAACAAUGUGUAUUUUCACCUUAUGGGACAAGAAAAAAUGGACUUUUUUCUCCGGCCAUGGGGGGGGGCGCUCUUUUGGGGAGUAAAAAUUCCUUCACAAAUGUGUUGAUGGCUGGACAUUGCAUCAUCCUAGAAAACUUGGAGGCCAGUGAGGGCAAAAAUAAAAAGUUAUAAGACUUUUAAAUAUGUGGAUUUUAGGGUUAUCUUUGGCGCCCCCUAGAACCUAAACCGUGGGGUGCAGCGUCAUGAUUUGAAUAACUUUUAAUGGCCAUGGGGUGUAGAUUGGCCUGAGCAAAUGUGGUGCCGGUGGAAAGAAAGCCUUCGGAGGAGUUAGCCACAUUCCAAUGUGUGCGGAUCGGCAAAAAAUGCGGAAUAACCCUUUAACCGUACAUUUGACAGAUACGCGCGCAUUGACUUUUUCGUAGAUCUUAUUGAGUUACAUGUGUGUGUCAAUUUUUGUGUCAUUUUGACAAAGCGUAUAGGCGUGACACUCAACAAUGUGUAUUUUCACCUUAGGGGACAAGAAAAAAUGGACUUUUUUCUCCUGCCAUGGGGGGGCGCUCUUUUGGGGAGUAAA